AUGCCGGUCGUCGACGUGCCCGAGACGCCGGUGGCGACGGGGGCGCCGCGCGUGCCCGUGCCCCCGGCACGGCCGUUCCUCCACAUCCUCGGCGCCCACCUGAGGGAGACCUUCUUUCCCGACGAUCCGUUCCGAGCGGUGGCGCGGGAGGACGGGCACGGCCGGCGCGCCGUGGCCGCGCUCCGCUACCUGUUCCCGUGCCUGCAGUGGCUACCGUGCUACACCCUCGGCGCGCUCCGGUCCGACCUCAUCGCCGGUGUCACCGUAGCCAGCCUCGCCGUCCCCCAGGGCAUCAGCUACGCCAAGCUCGCCGAUCUCCCGCCCAUCAUGGGACUAUACUCUAGCUUCGUGCCGGCGCUGGUAUACGCGGUGAUGGGAAGCUCCAGGGACCUGGCGGUGGGGACGACGGCGGUGGGGUCGCUGCUGUUCCCUGCGUUGCUGGGGAAGGAGGCGCCGCCGGCGGAGAACCCGGAGCUGUACAUGCACCUGGCCUUCACGGCCACCUUCUUCGCCGGCGUGUUCCAGACAGGCCUUGGCAUCCUCAGGCUGGGCUUCGUGGUGGACUUUUUGUCGCAGGCCGCCAUCGUCGGGUUCAUGGGCGGCGCCGCCACGGUGGUGUGCCUGCAGCAGCUCAAGGGCCUCCUGGGCCUCCAGCACUUCACCAGGGCCACGGACGUCGUCGCCGUCAUGCGCGCGGUCUUCUCGCAGACCCACCACUGGCGAUGGGAGAGCUUGGUUCUCGGGUGUUGCUGUCUCAUUUUUCUGCUCAUGACUCGCUUCUUCAGCAAGAGGCGACCCAGGCUCUUUUGGGUGUCGGCUGCGGCACCGUUGGCGUCACUCGUUGUUGGAAGCAUCUUCGUGUACCUCAUCCAUGGCCAAAACCAUGGCAUCGAAGUGAUUGGUAACCUCAAGAAGGGCAUAAACCCGUCGUCCGCCAAGAGCUUGAUCUUGUCGCCGCCGCACAUGAUGGUCGCUCUCAAGACCGGCAUCAUCACCGGCCUCAUCGGCCUCGCCGAAGGGAUCGCCGUGGGGAGGAGCUUCGCCAUGUCCAAGAACUACCACGUGGACAACAACAAGGAGAUGGUCGCCUUCGGGCUGGCGAACAUCGUGGGGUCCUGCACCUCAUGCUACCUCACCACCGGCCCCUUCUCGCGCUCCGCCGUGAACGUCAACGCCGGCUGCAAGACCGCCAUGUCCAACGCGGUGAUGGCGGUGGCGGUGGCCGUGACGCUCCUCUUCCUGACGCCGCUGUUCCACUACACCCCGCUGGUGGUGCUGUCGGCCAUCAUCAUCUCGGCCAUGCUGGGCGUUUUUGACUUCCCCGCCGCCGUUCGCCUGUGGAAGGUGGACAAGCUCGACUUCUGCGCCUGCCUCGGCGCCUGCCUCGGCGUCGUCUUGGACAACAUCGGGAUCGGACUCUCCAUCGCGGUCGGGAUAUCGGUUGUCCGGAUCCUGCUGUUCGUGGCGCGGCCGAGGACGACGGCGCUCGGCAAGAUGCCCAACUCGACCAUGUACAGAAGGAUGGACCAGUACGCCAUGGCGGAGAGCGUGCCCGGAGUGCUGGUGCUGCAGGUCGACGCGCCCAUCUUCUUCGCCAACGCGAGCUACCUGCGAGAGCGGAUCUCGCGGUGGAUCAACGAGGAGGAAGAGCGGAUCAAGGCCACGUGUGAGCAGAGCCUACAGUGUGUCGUCCUGGACAUGGGUGCCGUCGCUGGCAUUGACACAAGCGGAACCAAGCUCAUAGAGGAUCUCAGCAAGAGCCUGCACAUGAAGAAUAUUCAGAUUGCACUGGCAAACCCAGGGAGUGAAGUGAUGAAGAAACUGGACAUGUCCAAGGUGCUCAUGCGCAUCGACGAUGAGUGGAUCUUUCAGAAGGUGGGUGACGCAUGCGACUACACGCUGCUCAACUGUAAGAUAGCAACUGUUCAACACAACAUUGUGUGA
rnacentral:rRNA from 1 species